AUGCUGAACUUCUGUGCAGCCCCCAACUGCAAGCGGAGGAGCAUGUGGUUGGACCUGGCCUUCUUCAAGUUCCUGCAGUAUCGGGCCAGAGCCCAGAAGUGAGUGAAGAAUUGUUGGAGAGCAGACUUAGAAGAUAAAAUGCCUGACCAACUAAAUAAACCUUAUUGAUCAUGUGCCAAAUACUUUGAGACCUCUGUGAUCGGUAGAGAGUCCUUAUAGGACUGUUCUUCAAUACAAUGCAAUACCAACAAUAUUUGUUCUUACCAAUCAUUUAAACAAUUCAAAUAAUAGACACACAAAAUGAAUAAAAGAAUUGAAUGAAGAUGAAAUCAAGACAGUGAAACAGAGAAAAAUUUAUGAAACUCUGAACAGGAACAAAAACAUAAACUAACAACAGCAAUGCUCAGAACCCCACUGCAGAAGAAGGGGAUGAAGAGCAAGAUGAGGACAUCUUACCUGUGACCCUUGAGGACAAGGAAAACAAAGAAUGCCUAAAAUCUCUAUUUGAAGUCUUGAUUGUUAUGGGAUAGCAAAAUGUGUCGCUGAAUGGACAUGAGGCUAAUGAAAUCACAGGAGGUCUCUUUACUCAAGAUAACUUUCAAGCAAUGCUAGAGUGCCUGAUAAAUUCUGGUGCGGAGGUCCUGAGAAAGCACUUUGAGACAACAGCAGUUAACACAUUGUUAUGUUCGAAAACACAGCAGAAACAGAUGCUAGAGAUCUGUGAGGGCUGUAUUCAGGGAGAAACUCUCAGAGAAGUGAGAGACUCACACUUCUUUUCUAUCAUCACUGACAAUGUAGUGGACAUAGCAGGAGAGAGCAUCUAACCUGUGUUGGUGAGGUUGAUGAAUCUCAUAAACUGAGAGGAACUUGUAGACUUCCUGGCUUAUGAAGCUGAUGCAGAAAUUUUGGCUGUGAGAUUUUACACUGUGACAACUGAGAAGCAGGGACUAAAUAUGGAGUAUUGUCAUAGCCUGGCUUACAUUGUUUCCAGUGGAUUUUCUUCCAAAAUGAAAGUUGUCACUUGUAGAGUUUUAGAGAAUGCUAGAAGCAACACUCCGCAAGCUAUCUACACUCUCUGACCUUAUUGUGCCUUAAAUAUGUGUUGGGCUAAAUCAGUGCCUGUUAUUUGAGUAUCUGUUGCAUUAGGAACAAUUGAGGAAGUUUAUUCUUUUUACCAUAGAUCACCACAACUGCUUGUAGAACUUUACAAUGUAAUUUCUAUUCUUUUUCAGAACAAUGAAGAAAGGGGUAAACAAACUGAAGGGAAUUUGCCAUUCUCAGUGAACAGUCAGGGAUGAUGAUUCUGAAAUUUUAGUGGACCUCCUGUAAGCACUUGUUUUAUGUUUAGAUGGUAUAAGUAGUGACACAAAUAUUAGAUGGUAUAACAGUAUAGAUGGCCAAGCAUUUGUACUCUGCAGUGUAGUAACAGAUUUUGAUUUCAUGGUUACUAUUGCUGUUAUUUAAAAUGUCUUAACUUUUACAAGAGCCUUGGGAAAACAAUCUUCAGGGGCAAACCUCUGAUGUCUUCUUUGCAGCCAGUAGUUUGACUGCUGUAUUGCAUUCACUCAAUGAAGUGAAGGAAAACAUUAAAGUUUAUGAGGAGUUUUGGUUUGAGGAAGCCAUGAAUUUGGUAGCCAAACUUGAUAUGCAGAUGAAUCUCCCUGGGAAAUUCCACAGAGCUCAGCAAGGUAACUGGGAAUCUCAACUAACCUCUGAGUUACUGUAAAGAAACCCUAAGUGUUCCAACAGUGGAGCACAUUAUUCAGGUACUUAACGAUAUAUUCCCAGAACAGCAUCUCAGAGCCCUUAAAUGCUUAGCUCUGGGAUCCUCAGUCACGAGAUAACUCAAAUUUCAUACAUCAGAGGAACACCAUGCCAACAUGUACAGAAGUAACUUACUUAGUCCUGGCAAGCUCUCAGCCGAGCUUCAUUGUUGGAGAAUCAAGUGGAAACACAUAAGGGAAGAUAUAAAGCUUCCAUUCACCAUUUAUGAAGUCCUCUAUCUGCCUGACAUCAAGUUUUUUCCUAGUGUGUAUGCAUUGCUGUAUGACCUGUGUAUUCUUCCUGUGACGAAGGUUGAGAAUGAGUGGUAUGAAAGCAUACUUGAGGAACACUUUGACCAACCAAACUUAAGAGUAACCAUGCUUUGCAUAACAUAAAUUUUGAUAUGAAACAUGAUCUGAAUGUAAUGGUGGACACAUAUAUUAAACUCCAUACAACUAUGUCAGAACUUCCUACAGAUAAUUCAAAAACCAUUGAAAAUACC
rnacentral:lncRNA from 10 species